GUUUAAUCCUUUGUUUAGUUAUAUGUUGUGUUUGAUUUUUGUGGACUCAAGGUGUUUGUUGUUUUGGCAAACGGUGUGUAGGAUGCGAUUUCAGCGCCGAGACCAGCUAACUUCUACAAAAGAUUGAAUUCUAUUCCUGGCAAGAGGCAAGAGAUAUUUCUAUUGGAUAAUGAUGGAAGAAAUAAAUUCGGGUUUAAGAGAGAUAGAAGAGCAAAUUGCCUCAAAGUCUUAUUAAAACUUAACACAUAUCACCUCAUCUCACAUCAUAAGUACUAUAAAUAUAUAUUUUUACUAUAAUUUAUAUCAUGUUAUAAUGUAGCAAUUAAUUAACAAGUUUAAAUAAAAAAUCAGAAAAACCAAUUUAAAAAUA